rfam:Stylonychia lemnae strain 130c genome assembly, contig: Contig1633
AGGGCCAUGGCCUAAUGGAUAAGGCGUCUGACUACGGAUCAGAAGAUUGAGGGUUCAAGUCCCCCUGGCUCUG